AGGCCUCAUCACUGACAUGCAACGUCACAGCCUGUAGGCAGUUUAGAUCAGGUCUGUACGACGUGGCAAUGAGCUAAUGGGUCUCAACUGCCCACAGGUUGUGACGUCGCAAGUCAGUGAUGAGGCCUU
rnacentral:pre_miRNA from 1 species